rnacentral:rRNA from 1 species
UGCCAGUCGCCGCGGUAAUAAAUAGGGGUCAAGCGUUGUCUGGAUUUAUUGGGCGUAAAGCGCGUCUAGGCGGAAAAGAAAGUCUGAUGUGAAAAUGCGGGGCUCAACUCCGUAUUGCGUUGGAAACUGCUUUUCUAGAGUACUGGAGAGGUGGGCGGAACUACAAGUGUAGAGGUGAAAUUCGUAGUUAUUUGUAGGAAUGCCGAUGGAGAAGUCAGCUCACUGGACAGAUACUGACGCUGAAGCGCGAAAGCGUGGGGAGCAAACAGGAUUAGAUA